rnacentral:rRNA from 1 species
CGGGUGAGUAAUGUAUGGGGAUCUGCCUGAUGGCGGGGGAUAACUACUGGAAACGGUAGCUAAUACCGCAUAAUGUCUACGGACCAAAGCGGGGGACCUCCGGGCCUCGCGCCAUCAGAUGAACCCAUAUGGGAUUAGCUAGUAGGUGAGGUAACGGCUUACCUAGGCGACGAUCCCUAGCUGGUCUGAGAGGAUGAUCAGCCACGCUGGGACUGAGACACGGCCCAG